GGGUGUUUGGUUUAGUGGUAUGAUUCUCGCUUUGUGUGUGAGAGGUCGUGAGUUCAUUUCUCACGACACCCC
rfam:Ipomoea nil DNA, scaffold: scaffold2283, cultivar: Tokyo-kokei standard.